rfam:Tolumonas auensis DSM 9187, complete genome.
GGGGCUGAUUCUGGAUUCGACGGGACACUCGAAACCCAAGGUGCAUGCCGAGGUGCGGUAGGCCUCGUUAACAAACCGCAAAAAAAUAGUCGCAAACGACGAAACCUACGCUUUAGCAGCUUAAUACCCUGCUCGGAGCCCUUCUACCCUAGCUUGCCUAUGUCCUAGGGGAUUGGAAGGUCAUCUUUCAUAGGAUCGCGUGGAAACCUUGUCUGGGGUGGAAGCGUUAAAACUAAUCAGACUAGUUAUUCAGUAGCGUGUCGGUCCGCAGCUGGGUGGCGAAUUUAAAGAUUCGACUAAGCAUGUAGUACUGAGGAUGUAGGUUUUUCGGACGCGGGUUCAAAUCCCGCCAGCUCCACCA